GACGAACGCUGGCGGCGUGCCUAAUACAUGCAAGUAGAACGCAGUUGCGAACGGGUGAGUAACGCGUAGGUAACUGCCUCAUAGCGGGGGAUAACUCUUGGAAACGAUAGCUAAUACCGCAUACUUUGAGAUGGACCUGCGUUGUAUUAGUUAGGUGGUGGGGUAAAGGCUCACCAAGGCGACGCUACAUAGCCGACCUGAGAGGGUGAUCGGCCACAAUGGGACUUGGACAAGGGCCAGACUCCUACGGGAGGCAGCAGUAGGGAAUCUUCGGCAAUGGACGGAAGUCUGAACGAGCAAAGCCGCGUGAGUGAAGAAGGUUUUCGGAUCGGAAAGCCCUGUUGUUAGAGAAGCGGUACCUAACCAGAAAGGGACGGCUAACUACGUGCCAGCAGCCGCGGUAAUAC
rnacentral:rRNA from 1 species